CGGGAACUCAAAGGAGACUGCCAGUGAUAAACUGGAGGAAGGUGGGGAUGACGUCAAGUCAUCAUGGCCCUUACGAGUAGGGCUACACACGUGCUACAAUGGCAUAUACAAAGAGAAGCGACCUCGCGAGAGCAAGCGGACCUCAUAAAGUAUGUCGUAGUCCGGAUUGGAGUCUGCAACUCGACUCCAUGAAGUCGGAAUCGCUAGUAAUCGUGGAUCAGAAUGCCACGGUGAAUACGUUCCCGGGCCUUGUACACACCGCCCGUCACACCAUGGGAGUGGGUUGCAAAAGAAGUAGGUAGCUUAACCUUCGGGAGGGCGCUUACCACUUUGUGAUUCAUGACUGGGGUGAAGUCGUAACAAGGUAACCGUAGGGGAACCUGCGGUUGGA
rnacentral:rRNA from 1 species